CCAGUUGCUAAAUUGCACUGAUAAAUUAUAAAAUGCAUAAAGAUGGCAGUGGUUUCAUUGCAGGUGGAGCUCUCCAUAGAUAUUUUUUAUAAGGCACUUAUUGUUCUUUCAGGUUGUUCUCUAAUAGGUGCGAUUUAAGUUAGCAAUUUCCUAUUCUUUUUACUAUGGAAGAUGGCAGCAAGGUGAUCCAGGUAAGGUUUGCUCUUCGGCUUAUUGUUUCGUUCUUCUUCACUUUAGGAACCAGAGUCAUCCCUAGACCAUAGCAUGAUAUCUCUUAAUUUUGCAUGUGUGUCUUGGAACAAACAAACAUUGCGGGCAGGUGCUCUUUACUCUACGCAGUUAUCAGGUUUUCCAACCAGUUAUGGGCAGUAGUGGAUAUAUGUGUUCAAUGAUGGAUUGAUGAGAGGGUCACCUUUGAAUAUAGAUAAUAGAUGGAGUUGUAAAAUAGUGUCGCCGCCGCCCUCCGACUGUGGCAGGAAGAGGAGGGUUGGCAGGUUGUGGAGGUUCGCCAGCAGCUAGGAUUGGCUCCUGGGCAGGCCAUGCGGGGAUGGACGCGGGAGAGCUCCGAUCAAUGAUACCGACCAACGAUGAGACGAAUAUGAAUGUUCUCAACUGCUAGCUGAUACUGUAAUACGAUCAAGUUGAUUCCCAUCAGUCAAAUAUAGUUUUGUCGAGAAGUAUGAUAAAAUUUUAGAGCAACGUGGAUGCAUUAAUACAUGUUUUUUUAUGAAUGCGGAGGAAGCGUCGAUUGCUGUCAGUUGUGUGGAAGCCUAUACGAGGCGUUUGUGUUGCUUGCCGAGAUGUUAAA